GACGAACGCUGGCGGCGUGCCUAAUACAUGCAUGUAGAACGCUGAAGAGAGGAGCUUGCUCUUCUUGGAUGAGUUGCGAACGGGUGAGUAACGCGUAGGUAACCUGCCUUGUAGCGGGGGAUAACUAUUGGAAACGAUAGCUAAUACCGCAUAACAAUGGAUGACACAUGUCAUUUAUUUGAAAGGGGCAAUUGCUCCACUACAAGAUGGACCUGCGUUGUAUUAGCUAGUAGGUGAGGUAAUGGCUCACCUAGGCGACGAUACAUAGCCGACCUGAGAGGGUGAUCGGCCACACUGGGACUGAGACACGGCACAGAAUCCUACGGGAGGCAGCAGUAGGGAAUCUUCGGCAAAGGGGGCAACCCUGACCGAGCAACGCCGCGUGAGGGAAGAAGGUUAUCGGAUCGUAAAGCUCUGUUGUAAGUCAAGAACGGGGGUGAGAGUGGAAAGUUCACAAUGUGACGGUAGCUUACCAGAAAGGGACGGCUAACUACGUG
rnacentral:rRNA from 1 species